rnacentral:rRNA from 1 species
GACGAACGCUGGCGGCGUGCUUAACACAUGCAAGUCGAACGGAAAGGCCCUGCUUUUGUGGGGUGCUCGAGUGGCGAACGGGUGAGUAACACGUGAGUAACCUGCCCUUGACUUUGGGAUAACUUCAGGAAACUGGGGCUAAUACCGGAUAGGAGCUCCUGCUACAUGGUGGGGGUUGGAAAGUUUCGGCGGUUGGGGAUGGACUCGCGGCUUAUCAGCUUGUUGGUGGGGUAGUGGCUUACCAAGGCUUUGACGGGUAGCCGGCCUGAGAGGGUGACCGGCCACAUUGGGACUGAGAUACGGCCCAGACUCCUACGGGAGGCAGCAGUGGGGAAUAUUGCACAAUGGGCGGAAGCCUGAUGCAGCAACGCCGCGUGCGGGAUGACGGCCUUCGGGUUGUAAACCGCUUUCGCCUGUGACGAAGCGUGAGCGACGGUAAUGGGUAAAGAAGCACCGGCUAACUACGUG